UACGUAGGGGCCGAGCGUUGUCCGGAGUUACUGGGCGUAAAGCGCGCGCAGGCGGCCCUGCGCGCCCGACGUGAAAGCCCCCGGCCUAACCGGGGAGGGUCGUCGGGGACGGCAGGGCUUGAGGGCAGCAGGGGCUGGUGGAAUUCCCGGUGUAGUGGUGAAAUGCGUAGAGAUCGGGAGGAACACCCGUGGCGAAGGCGGCCAGCUGGGCUGCACCUGACGCUGAGGCGCGAAGGCGUGGGGAGCGAACGGG
rnacentral:rRNA from 1 species